AAUGAACGCUGGCGGCGUGCUUAACACAUGCAAGUCGAGCGAGGCCAGGGGGGCAACUCCCUGAGUCGAGCGGCGGACGGGUGAGUAACACGUGGGUAACCUACCCGGAAGUGGGGAAUACCUCGGGGAAACUCGAGCUAAUACCGCAUGACAUCUUCGGGACGAAAGUCCUGACGAUCAAAGCGGGGUCGCAAGAUCUCGCGCUACCGGAUGGGCCCGCGCCCGAUUAGCUAGUUGGUGAGGUAACGGCUCACCAAGGCGACGAUCGGUAACCGGCCUGAGAGGGCGAUCGGUCACACCGGAACUGAGACACGGUCCGGACUCCUACGGGAGGCAGCAGUGGGGAAUCUUGCGCAAUGGGCGAAAGCCUGACGCAGCAACGCCGCGUGGAGGAUGAAGGCCCUUGGGUUGUAAACUCCUGUCGGCUGGGAAGAAGUUGUUUGCGGCUAAUACCCGCGAGCAUUGACUGUACCAGCAAAGGAAGCCCCGGCUAACUCUGUGC
rnacentral:rRNA from 1 species